AUGUUGAACAGAUGGUGUCUGUCAGUUUCCCACCGUUCUUGUGAAAUGUGUUCCUGUCACUCAAGUACGUACUGCUGCUUUUUUAAUCUAGUACACUCAUGUUUCUCUUCAUAUCGUAUAAAUCUUUCGCCUUUUACUAAAGAUUUCCGUGGAGAGGGGCACAAUGAGUAUAAAUCAAAUUUUUUGAUGCCCUGCUUAAAUGUGGGGCUUCUCUAUCCAGUUAAAAUAUCAGAUUUAUUUAUGGCAGUAGUGUAUCUUAGAAAGUUUAUUGUGCUUGUGGAAGUAUACUAAUUUCUGCACAAAAUCUUAAUGUAAUGGAAACUAUGUAGCCUACUAUCAUUGGGAAAAGCGUAACGGCUAAUUUGGAUAACGUGAGCCACCUCAGCCAAUCAUAUAAUGGUACUGAUGUCAGUGACCGCUUCCACAGUUCUACCAAAGCCACUAGAAGCAAAGAGUAUAGAAGACCAAGAGGCAAAACUCUGACUGGUCUUCUAUACUCUUUGCUAGAAGAAGACAAGUCUGCAACCUUAUAUGACGUAUUUUCUGUAUUUGACAUGAGGGUGAGUAAUUAAUGACAGAAUUUUCAUUUUUGGGUGAACUAUUCCUUUAAUAAUAAUUAGAUAUUACAUAUAAUUUGGUAUAAAACAAAGUGCUACACGUUUUAUUGGUGCAAAGGUGAGUAGCCUUUAUUUAUUUUGUACAUCAUUUGCAACUGGUUUUUAUCACUUAAUUAGAAGCACCAGAAAUUAAAGUGUGUAGCAUCAGUUAAUGAAAAGUUGUACACACACGUGUGGUCUUCAUCCUCACUUGAACAAUUGGGCCAAAUACAGGAAAUACGUCAUAUAAGUAGUCAAGUGAUCAAGUGUGGGUAUUUGGACAAGGGGGAAGGGUACAACUGAUGCCCUGCGUCUCAAUGUUCAUACUAACCAUCAUAAAUAGUAUGUGAGAUUAGAAUAAGUGUGUCCCAAAGCAUAGUAUGUUGAAAAGAGUAUGCAAAAAGUCCCCGGAUGGUCUACUAUUUCAGGUAAUGAUUCAUCUAUAUUUUUUAACUUGAGCUAAUGAAAAAUAAAUAACAAUUAAUUUAAUAAAUUUAAAUUUAA
ensembl:lncRNA